rnacentral:rRNA from 1 species
GAUACGUAGUGUGAAUUGCAGAAUUCCGCGAAUCAUCGAGUCUUUGAACGCAAGUUGCGCCCGAGGCUUGACCAAGGGCAUCCCUGCCAGAGCGUCGCCGCGACACCCACCAAUCCACUCCCAGCUCGACUGGGAGUGCGACUGAGUGAAACUGGCCAUC